rnacentral:lncRNA from 1 species
AGAAAACUCUGACGUAUUCACAUCUCCGAAGCCCAAUUUGAUCAAGUACAGAUUGUGGCGACAUUUUGUUACUGGUACAUGAACCGGUGGCAUACACAUUUAUAUUUCAGCAUACGAUUGUCAUAUUGACAAUCACCAGAACCAAGUUGUGAGGGAACGUGUCCCUCACAGGCUGUAGAGGGUUAAAGCCAGGGGCUCGGAUAUCCGAACACGGCGAAUUUGGAAGAGGCGCUCAGAGAGCGGGGAGCCCAAGAUGGCGGAGCAGAAGAGAGUGGUAGGAUGGGAUCGGGCCGGCAGCGGACAAACGCAUGACCAAAUAUGGCCAUUUGGGAAGAGACGCCCAGAAAGCGGGGAGCCCGAGAUGGUGGCGCAGAAGACAGUGGAAGGAUGGGAUCGGCAGCGGACCAACGCAUGCCCAAAUAUGGCCAUGGGAUCGGGGUCCAGUUACGAAAAAGGGAGAAAGCAUCAGAAUCGCCGAUGGAAAAACACUGACCGCGUGGGAGAACCGUUAUCCGGCGCCUAUAUAAGGAGGGUGGCCGCCAAGGCAGGGGAGCUUCACGCGUGAGCAGCCCAAGAGCUAGGUCGAGUGUUCGGGUGAAUAAGUGAAUCGAAGUGCAUAAUAGUGGAAAUCGUAACGGGACCCGCGACAUCGAAUGCCCAGAGUGAGUCUUGCAUAAUCAGAGUGAACAACAGAUUUUCGGACGAGGUUAAGGUAGAGAAAGGCGAACCGUUGGAGUGUGGAAUUGGUGUGGCGGAUUAAGAUCAAUUGCCCAAGUUCAGCGGCACCAACGUGCAACGCCCGGAGCCAACCGUCCGAAAUCGACAGGUCACAAGAUAGCGAUAACAUAGCCAUAAGCUAGGCUAAGCUAUAGAGAUUAAUAUUGAAUAAAACCCCAAUUGUCAGAAAUAAACCAAUCCUGUGUUUUUACUUGGUCGUCGAGGCAACAAUAUAAAUUCGUUGCAACCACCCAAUUUCCCGCUGAGUCAGCCCAGCACAGGUCACGAGACCCGGAAAAAGGGUACGUUACAACUGGCGCCCAACGUGGGCCACGGAAGCGGCGCAGGGGGUGCCGACAGCACCGGAGGAGCAGCAUCAGCAGCAGCAUCAGCAGCAUCAGCAGCAGCAGCAUCAGCAGCAGCA